GACGAACGCUGGCGGCGUGCUUAACACAUGCAAGUCGAACGGAAAGGCCUCUUUCGGGGGGUACUCGAGUGGCGAACGGGUGAGUAACACGUGAGUAACCUGCCCUUGACUUUGGGAUAACUUCAGGAAACUGGGGCUAAUACCGGAUAGGAGCUCCUGCUCCAUGGUGGGGGUUGGAAAGUUUCGGCGGUUGGGGAUGGGCUCGCGGCUUAUCAGCUUGUUGGUGGGGUAGUGGCUUACCAAGGCUUUGACGGGUAGCCGGCCUGGGAGGGGGACCGGCCACAUUGGGACUGAGAUACGGCCCAGACUCCGACGGGAGGCAGCAGUGGGGAAUAUUGCACAAUGGGUGGAAGCCUGAUGCAGCAACGCCGUGUGCGGGAUGACGGCCUUCGGGUUGUAAACCGCUUUCGCUCAUGACGGAGCUUUGCGUGACGGUAGUGGGUAAAGAAGCACCGGCUAACUACGUG
rnacentral:rRNA from 1 species